rnacentral:misc_RNA from 1 species
CCAAAUCAACGGCCGAAAGGCCUUGCCCUAGGGGGGGAGACUCCCCGACGGUAAACCCUUUGUGAAAACCCUUCGUUUGCCUCGGCGGCACGUUUUAAUUAGGGGUCAGCCCGCCGACGGCACCAACCAAAACUCUUUUUUUUUGAAUUGAAGAAUGUCUGAAUCAAUGGUCGAAUGACUAUA